AAAAACUGAAGUAAUUCCUGAACUAUGACCCCAAAUCCCAGAAGAAUAAUAAAGGAGGAACUUCAAACCACCUCUUCCAUCCAUCAUAUCUGAAACUCCAACAUGUCUCUGCAUUGCUUUCUAAUCAGACGGCCACAGAGAAAUUUAAAGAGUGCUUUCUAACACCUGAUGAUGUCAUCCAGGUCAUGUUACUGUGGAAAAUCAUCUCUGCUGCCCGUAUAUUGAUCUGUUAGCAUGUCAUGUUAGUCAUUAAAUUGUCAUACAGCACCAAUCUUCAGUCAGAGGCCUUUUCAGACAUGUUGCAAGACUGACUUCUACCAUUACUGCCCAGAUACUUGGAUGAUUUGAGUUACGACAACAUUUGAUGAAUAUAGGAUACAUAAGCACAUCACUGUGAACCAUGGAAAUGCAAGGAAUCCAUUGGUUAAAAGAGGAUCCCAGUUUUCCAAAAGUUAAAUCUCCAAAACCAAAAAAAUUGAUUAAUUGAUCAAAUUAAGUCAAUAACAUUAUAUAUUGCGAUAGGCACUUGAUCAAUAUCAAUAGGUAAUGCAUUCUAAUAGAAUAUUCAAUACAUAGAACAUUCACUGAACUCCAAUCCAGAACCGCACGGCAUUCUGGGAGAUGUAGGCAGAGGAAAUACUUCAGUCGCUCAACCUCUCACAAGCAAUGUUGGUGGAAUCAAGUGACUCACUCGCUCUCUGGUUACCUAGCAACCCACUCGCACUUUGGUUACCUAGCAACAACUUGAAUAAUGUGGUUACCUAGUAGCAACUUGAGGAACUUGCGCAGCAGCAGUUUAAGGUUUUGCCGCCGUUCCUCAAACUGUUUUAAAAAUAAAAACGAAGCAGCAUGGAGUGAGUUUGGCAGUAACAAAAAACGAAUCAAUAAUUAUUGGUAUUGUCUGAUAUGAAACGUAAUAAGUUUUUCACCCGUAUCGCCUAACGUUGUGUUGAACUUUCACUUAAAAUCCCAAUAACAUACAUUCAGUUUGUGCUUGUUCAAAUGUUAAAGAAGUUAAGCGGCUUUAAAUAAAUGUGAAAGCUGCUCCAGAUGACAUCAGAGGCUAUAAUGUUUCUACUUGUGGGUUGUAGCGGUUAUGAAUAGCUGCUUGCUCACGUUCCCACAGCAUCCAGCUUGUUUUGCUGAGGCUUUCAUCCCUAAAUAAACCAGUGGAAGCCCAGCUGCUGUUCGUCUGUGCUCAGCGUGUUUGUCUCUCGCCUCACUGGAGCGGACGGCUCGGUGCGCGUCGACGGGCCGCGUGUUUACCCUCCACCGCAGAUCGUGGCCGCAGCGAUGGGCCGGCUGUGUUUGAAGCCGGUCCUGGACGGAGACGGGAAUGAGAGCGAGAGCUUGUUCGUGCCGAGGUCGAUGGAUCAGAGGGGGAGCAGGUGGAGGCUGCUGCUACAACCCCCCUCUGUCCCUUUUCAUCGUGGCAAAGGUCGGAAUCAGGUUGGGAAUGGCUGCCGACCCCGAGCAGGAGGCAUUCCAGCAUUCCUCUGCGGUCAGAAUCAGAGCAAACGAAGCCGCUCCCUGGAGAUCAAGGCGCCGCCAGAUGUCAGAGGAAGCUGCCGUUUGUGAAAAGCUGAGCACCUGCUUCCACGCAGAGGAAAUACAGUACAGGAGCUUGUGAGAAGUGCAAACCCAGCUUCUUCAUUUCUGGGAACAGUUUGUUUGUGUUCUCCUUUAAAAUGUAAUAAAGUUUAAACUCAUGUGUGCAAACUAAAAAGGAAGUCUGGUUAAUUAGCAUGAUGCAGAUCUCGGCAGAAAUCAGGGCGUAGCGUAAAUAAAACCCAACACUUGAACUGUCCAGGUGUAAAACAGGGCAGAGUUGCUUGAACUUCCUACGUUUGAUAUAAUGUAGCAGUAAAUGUUGAUCUGAACCUGGCAGCACAUUAUCAGCCCAUCUGUCUCCUGAUGUCUGUGUUUGACAGUCGCUCUGCUUCUUGGAAACCUCCAGGCCAGAACAUUAUGGAGCCCCUAAUGGACCUUUCUAAUGGGUUUCAGAAAGAGAAAAUAUAAAACAUAUCACUGCAACGUAGCCCCGUAUGUUUCAGCUUCGGUUCAGUUUUAACAAGAAUCUUCAUAAUCUGAAGCUUUCAGUUAUCACUGAGCGUUUUCCCUCCUGGUUUCUUCUGUUCGAUCUUUAGUGGGUUCGACUGAUAUGAGAUGUUUGGGUUUCCUGUUCCGGAUGUAAACAUGACGAUGCUCAGAACGCUGGCAGCUGCCGUUCAGCUUAUCACCAACAGCGAUCUAUGCAGAACAGACACCUUUGAGUCACGUAGACAUCAGGAAACGCUUAAAAACGGAAGCAGAUCGAUGAUAAAUGAAGUUAAUAUCACUUAAAUUCUUAACUUCUGCCCUUUCUGUCAUAAACUUCAACAUUUUAUUAGAGAACCUUAGAGCUUGAGAUGUUGCUUUUGGGAUAAACGUUUGAAAGCAACAAGGUGAAUAUUUAGAUUUCCUGAUCAGAUAUGACUUUAAAUACCAGUGGUCUUGAUGUUUAAGGUAAAGUUAUUUUAUUUAUGUAGCACAUUUUCAGGAACAAGGAAGUUCAAAGUGCUUUGCAUCAUAAAACACAAGAAUACAAGAAUUGAUUUCUUGGGCAGAACUGUGAAGAUACGGUUGCAGUAAUCGAUGCGCCUAAAGAUAAACACAUGGAUGAGUUUCUAGAUCUUGUUGAGACAUUAAUCCUCUCAUCCUGGAAAUGUCCUUCAGGUGACAGAAGGCCGACUUUGCAACUGUCUUUAUGUGGCUCUGAGGGUUCAGGUCAGAGUCCACUACUACUCUUCUCUCUUAUGAAAUGGUUUCCAUUUUCUGUUUAUUUUAUCUGUUAAAUGAUACAGAAAUCACUCCAUUCAGUUAAAAUUUGUACAUUUCCUUUGACUUUUAAAAUUUGCUUUUCACUUUCUUCAACAAUUUGGAGUAUUUUACCAGUUUAAAUAUUAAAAAGCACCCAGCUUCACCCUGUAACUGUCAGUUCAGCUUCCUCCACACGUCUUUGUAGAGACGACAUUGAUGUCCAUGAACCGUUCAGUUUCUUGCUCCUCUGGUCGUUUAAAAUAAAAACAUAAAACAAC